CAACCUUGAACACUUUGAUCAACUUCUUUGAUCUAGACUGCGGGAUCAAUUCCUUGAUCAGCAACCUUCUUCUUCUUCUCCUUGAUCUACAAUCUUUAAGUCUCCAACACUACUUUUGGACGUGUGGAAGAGAGGCACCCAACCUUUGGGCAUGAAAGGAAUAGAGGGAGGAGAGGAGGUGUGGAGAGGGAGAGAGAGAAAUUUUUAUUGAUGAAAAUUCUAUUAAUAAGAAAUCUUAGAGACCUCCCUUUAUAUAGAUACUAUCCUGACAUAUAUUAGGAAUCCAAUUAUCUUAAAAAGAUAGAUCCUUAUUG
rnacentral:lncRNA from 1 species